rnacentral:rRNA from 1 species
GAUGAACGCUGGCGGCGUGCCUAAUACAUGCAAGUCGAGCGGAAGGACGAUAAUUUUGCUUCUCUGUUGUUAGCGGCGGAGGGGUGAGUAACACGUGUAUAACCUACCUGUAAUACUGGUAUAAUUUCGGGAAACCGGAUCUAAUCCCGUAUAAGAUUUUGAACCGCAUGGUUCAAAAGUGAAAGACGGUGUUUCUGUCACUAAUAGAUGGAUCCCCGCUGCAUUAGCUAGUUGUUAAGGUAACGGCUUACCAAGGCAACGAUGCAUAUACGAGGUGAGGGGGUGAUAGGCCACCCUGGAACUGAGCCACGGUCAAGACUACUAAGGGAGGCAGCAGUAGGGAAUCUUCCGCAAUGGGCGAAAGCAUGACGGAGCAACGCGGAGUGAGUGAUGACAGUCUUCGGAUUGUAAAACUGUGUUAUUAGGGAAGAACAUAUGUGUAAGUAACUGUGCCCAUCUUGACGGUAACUAAUAAGAAAGCAACGGCUAACUACGUG